GCCAGGCAUGGUGGCGCACACCUGUGAUCCCAGCAUCUCCGGAGGCUGAGGCAGCAGGAUCACAAGUUCAAAGCCAGCCUCAGCAACGCAAAGAGGCCCUAAGCAACUCAGUGAGAUCCUGUCUCUA
rnacentral:sRNA from 1 species